rnacentral:rRNA from 1 species
UCCUACGGGAGGCAGCAGUAGGGAAUCUUCCGCAAUGGACGAAAGUCUGACGGAGCAACGCCGCGUGAGUGAUGAAGGUUUUCGGAUCGUAAAGCUCUGUUGUUAGGGAAGAACAAGUGCAAGAGUAACUGCUUGCACCUUGACGGUACCUAACCAGAAAGCCACGGCUAACUACGUGCCAGCAGCCGCGGUAAUACGUAGGUGGCAAGCGUUGUCCGGAAUUAUUGGGCGUAAAGGGCUCGCAGGCGGUUUCUUAAGUCUGAUGUGAAAGCCCCCGGCUCAACCGGGGAGGGUCAUUGGAAACUGGGAAACUCGAGUGCAGAAGAGGAGAGUGGAAUUCCACGUGUAGCGGUGAAAUGCGUAGAGAUGUGGAGGAACACCAGUGGCGAAGGCGACUCUCUGGUCUGUAACUGACGCUGAGGAGCGAAAGCGUGGGGAGCGAACAGGAUUAGAUACCCUGGUAGUCCACGCCGUAAACGAUGAGUGCUAAGUGUUAGGGGGUUUCCGCCCUUUAGUGCUGAAGUUAACGCAUUAAGCACUCCGCCUGGGGAGUACGGCCGCAAGGCUGAAACUCAAAUGAA